rnacentral:rRNA from 1 species
GACGAACGCUGGCGGCGUGCUUAACACAUGCAAGUCGAACGGAAAGGCCCUGCUUUUGUGGGGUGCUCGAGUGGCGAACGGGUGAGUAACACGUGAGUAACCUGCCCUUGACUUUGGGAUAACUUCAGGAAACUGGGGCUAAUACCGGAUAGGAGCUCCUGCUGCAUGGUGGGGGUUGGAAAGUUUCGGCGGUUGGGGAUGGACUCGCGGCUUAUCAGCUUGUUGGUGGGGUAGUGGCUUACCAAGGCUUUGACGGGUAGCCGGCCGGAGAGGGUGACCGGCCACAUUGGGACUGAGAUACGCCCAAAACUCCUACGGGAGCCAGCAGUGGGGAAUAUUGCACAAUGGGCGGAAGCCUGAUGCAGCAACGCCGCGUGCGGGAUGACGGCCUUCGGGUUGUAAACCGCUUUCGCCUGUGACGAAGCGUGAGUGACGGUAAUGGGUAAAGAAGCACCGGCUAACUACGUG